CCCAUACACACAUCCACACCCCCACUUCGCUAGUGAAGAACCACAAAGCCAAAAGCCUAUUAAGCUGCCGGAAGUCGAGUUUAUGAAGCUGUAACAGCUUUAGGAAAAGACGUCCCAAGCUCCUGGACUUUUGGAGUUGGAGGGAGCCUGAAGGUGUAUCCCCGGCUCCUCUCCAAGGUUUGGGAACAAGGGCUGGUGGCCCAGUCACUUCCCAAGCACUCAGGGAGCAGCAGGCAGGGUGGCUGGAGAGCAGACUCACAGGGCUCCUCACUGCCUCAGUCACCAGCAACACCUGUGGGCUCCUGGCCUGUAGCCGCCUGACUGUGGUCACUGCGCUCAGCCCGUGGUGUGAAGGAGGCCAUGUGCUUGACUGCUAAGACAGCUCGUACCCCGCUAUGGAGGUUUCAGAUCCCGUGAAUGCCCCCAUGUUGUCUAAAAAGCAAGCUGUGGUAAGGCUAGCUCACCUUUUCUGAGUAUUUACCACGUGCCAGGGAAACUGAGGCUGUACACAGAGUAUCCCACUCAAUCCUCACUUCUCUCAGGAGGCGCUGUCCUGAUGUUACAUGGGGAAACAACCUUGAGCACGGAAGCAAAUGAAACCAGAGAGCAGGGCGUGAAUUCCAUUGCUGGUGCUGGAACUCUGACCUCCUGAGCCUGUGUGGCUGACUGGAGCCCAGGAGACUUGAGUGGCAGGGGCCACUCUGCCCAGUGGCCAUGCACUGCCUCUGCCUGGCCUGCCCCUGGUUCUGAGAGCUGGCUCUGGGCCCUGCUGCAG
rnacentral:lncRNA from 10 species